rnacentral:miRNA from 1 species
GAAGGCGCAUCCCUUUGGAGCGU